rnacentral:sRNA from 1 species
CCGGGAUCGCCACCUGUCAGCGCGUUGCGCCCACAGGUGCCGUUCUG